CCUACGGGUGGCUGCAGUGGGGAAUAUUGGACAAUGGGCGAAAGCCUGAUCCAGCCAUGCCGCGUGUGUGAAGAAGGCCUUCGGGUUGUAAAGCACUUUCAGAGGGGAAGAAAGCCUUGGGGCUAAUACCCUCGAGGAAGGACAUCACCCACAGAAGAAGCACCGGCUAACUCCGUGCCAGCAGCCGCGGUAAUACGGAGGGUGCGAGCGUUAAUCGGAAUUACUGGGCGUAAAGCGCGCGUAGGCGGUCUGAUAAGCCGGUUGUGAAAGCCCCGGGCUCAACCUGGGAACGGCAUCCGGAACUGUCAGGCUAGAGUGCAGGAGAGGAAGGUAGAAUUCCCGGUGUAGCGGUGAAAUGCGUAGAGAUCGGGAGGAAUACCAGUGGCGAAGGCGGCCUUCUGGACUGACACUGACGCUGAGGUGCGAAAGCGUGGGUAGCAAACAGGAUUAGAUACCCUAGUAGUC
rnacentral:rRNA from 1 species